UAAAGCUAAAAAGCUUCGAGAAAUGGAAUGCUCCUGAGGAGAACUGUAGAGAAGGACGGCGAGGAAGAUUGAAGUUCUUUUCGGAGAAAGAAAACCAAGAAACACAACAACCACACCCCAGAGAAGAACCCUCACUGUGUCGUCGUGGUGUUGCCAGGGAAGGACGCAGGGGGCCGUCAAUUUCUUUUGUUGUUGUGGUGUUGUCAGAGCAUAAGCCCGUUGAGGCCGCGCGACACAGAGUGGAGAAGACCAUGAAGUGGUUCUUCUGAAAAGAUGUCUCGUGUGUAUGUUGGUAACUUGGAUUCAGGAGUCACCGAGAGAGAUCUCGAAGACGAAUUUCGUGUUUUCGGAGUUAUUCGGAGUGAAGGACUUGGGAGGCCUAUGAUGGAGAUAUUACAUUUGCAAGUGCCUUGGAAACUUUUGGUGGUGGGCAUAAUGACCCAAUCAGUGUGGCUUUGGGAGGUAUGCUCCCUUUUUACAUCAAUAUUAUGAUGGUUGAUGA